rnacentral:misc_RNA from 1 species
ACCAAGAUGAAGGCCGUCGAACGCUUUCUCGAGGAUGGCGACCGCGUCAAGGUCACCAUGCGCUUCCGUGGUCGCGAAAUGGCCCACCAGGAACUCGGCAUGCUGCUGCUCGUCAAGGUCAAGGACCAGUUCGAGCCCGUAGCCAAAGUCGAAAGCCAGCCCCGCUCCGAAGGCCGCCAAAUGGUCAUGGUCUUGGCGCCCAAGUAAGGCGACGGUGGUUUUGAGAAUUUUGAAGAGGCCCGCACAAUGCGGGCCUUUUUGUUUGUGGUAAUGGGUAGGGCCGCUUGCGUCCCC